rnacentral:rRNA from 1 species
UACGGAGGGGGCUAGCGUUGUUCGGAAUCACUGGGCGUAAAGGGCGCGUAGGCGGCUUUGUAAGUCGGGGGUGAAAGCCUGUGGCUCAACCACAGAAUUGCCUUCGAUACUGCAUGGCUUGAGACCGGAAGAGGUAAGUGGAACUGCGAGUGUAGAGGUGAAAUUCGUAGAUAUUCGCAAGAACACCGGUGGCGAAGGCGGCUUACUGGUCCGGUUCUGACGCUGAGGCGCGAAAGCGUGGGGAGCAAACAGG